AUUGAACGCUGGCGGCAUGCCUUACACAUGCAAGUCGAACGGCAGCGGGCCUUCGGGUGCCGGCGGGUGGCGAACGGGUGAGUAAUGCAUCGGAACGUGCCAUUGAGUGGGGGAUAACGUAGCGAAAGUUGCGCUAAUACCGCAUAUUCUGUGAGCAGGAAAGCAGGGGACCGCAAGGCCUUGCGCUCUUUGAGCGGCCGAUGUCAGAUUAGCUAGUUGGUGAGGUAAAGGCUUACCAAGGCGACGAUCUGUAGCGGGUCUGAGAGGAUGAUCCGCCACACUGGAACUGAGACACGGUCCAGACUCCUACGGGAGGCAGCAGUGGGGGAAUUUUGGACAAUGGGGGCAACCCUGAUCCAGCCAUGCCGCGUGAGUGAAGAAGGCCUUCGGGUUGUUAAAGCUCUUUCGGUCCGGGGAAGAAAUACGCAUGGGUGAAUACCCUGUGUGGAUGACGGUACCGGAACAAGAAGCACCGGCUAACUACGUGCCAGCAGCCGCGGUAA
rnacentral:rRNA from 1 species